UACGUAGGUGACAAGCGUUGUCCGGAUUUACUGGGCGUAAAGAGCGCGCAGGCGGUCGUUCAAGUCGAGUGUGAAAGCCCCCCGGCUCAACUGGGGAGGGUCACUCGAUACUGAUCGACUCGAAGGCAGGAGAGGGAAGUGGAAUUCCCGGUGUAGUGGUGAAAUGCGUAGAUAUCGGGAGGAACACCAGUGGCGAAGGCGGACUUCCUGGUCCUGUUCUUGACGCUGAGGCGCGAAAGCUAGGGGAGCAAACGGG
rnacentral:rRNA from 1 species